rnacentral:rRNA from 1 species
UACGUAGGUGGCAAGCGUUGUCCGGAUUUACUGGGCGUAAAGAGCGCGCAGGCGGUCGUUCAAGUCGCGUGUGAAAGCCCCCGGCUCAACUGGGGAGGGUCACGCGAUACUGAUCGACUCGAAGGCAGGAGAGGGUAGUGGAAUUCCCGGUGUAGUGGUGAAAUGCGUAGAUAUCGGGAGGAACACCAGUGGCGAAGGCGACUACCUGGCCUGUUCUUGACGCUGAAGCGCGAAAGCUAGGGGAGCAAACGGG